UACGUAGGGGCGAGCGUUGUCCGGAUUUAUUGGGCGUAAAGAGCGUGUAGGCGGCCAGGUAGGUCUGCUGUGAAAACUCGAGGCUCAACCUCGAGACGUCGGCGGAAACCAUCUGGCUAGAGUCCGGAAGAGGAGAGUGGAAUUCCUGGUGGUAGCGGUGAAAUGCGCAGAUAUCAGGAAGAACACCAGCGGCGAAGGCGGCGUCCUGGACUGGUACUGACGCUCAGGAGCGAAAGCGUGGGGAGC
rnacentral:rRNA from 1 species